UACAGAGGGUGCAAGCGUUAAUCGGAAUUACUGGGCGUAAAGCGCCCGUAGGUGGUUUGUUAAGUUGGAUGUGAAAGCCCCGGGCUCAACCUGGGAACUGCAUCCAAAACUGCACAUCUUGAGUACGGGAGAGGGAAGCAGAAUUCCUGGUGUAGAGGUGAAAUUCGUAGAUAUCAGGAGGAAUACCUGUGGCGAAAGCGGCUUCCUGGUCCGGUUCUGACGCUGAGGCGCGAAAGCGUGGGGAGCAAACAGG
rnacentral:rRNA from 1 species